CUGAACGGCCGUCCGGCCUUCAACCUCGCAAACCUGUGGAAGCGAGACGUGCUUCGGCGCCCCGGCGUCGCUUUUAUGCCUCGAUCGGUCUCUGAGUCUGAAUCGAAUACAACGGAUA
rnacentral:misc_RNA from 1 species